rnacentral:rRNA from 1 species
CUACGGGAUGCUGCAGUGGGGAAUAUUGCACAAUGGGGGAAACCCUGAUGCAGCAACGCCGCGUGAGCGAUGAAGGCCUUCGGGUCGUAAAGCUCUUUUCUAAGGGAAGAAUUCUUGACGGUACCUUAGGAAUAAGCCCCGGCUAACUACGUGCCAGCAGCCGCGGUAAUACGUAGGGGGCAAGCGUUAUCCGGAAUCACUGGGCGUAAAGGGUGCGUAGGUGGUUUUGUAAGUCUGAGGUAAAAGGUCACGGCUCAACCGUGGUAAGCCUUGGAAACUGCAAAACUUGAAUGCAGGAGAGGAAAGUGGAAUUCCUAGUGUAGCGGUGAAAUGCGUAGAUAUUAGGAGGAACAUCCAUGGCGAAGGCAGCUUUCUGGACUGUUAUUGACACUGGGGCACGAAAGCGUGGGGAGCAAACAGGAUUAGAUACCCGUGUAGUC